rnacentral:rRNA from 1 species
UACCAAUUGUUGCCUCGGCGGAUCAGCCCGCUCCCGGUAAAACGGGACGGCCCGCCAGAGGACCCCUAAACUCUGUUUCUAUAUGUAACUUCUGAGUAAAACCAUAAAUAAAUCAAAACUUUCAACAACGGAUCUCUUGGUUCUGGCAUCGAUGAAGAACGCAGCAAAAUGCGAUAAGUAAUGUGAAUUGCAGAAUUCAGUGAAUCAUCGAAUCUUUGAACGCACAUUGCGCCCGCCAGUAUUCUGGCGGGCAUGCCUGUUCGAGCGUCAUUUCAACCCUCAAGCCCCCGGGUUUGGUGUUGGGGAUCGGCGAGCCCUUGCGGCAAGCCGGCCCCGAAAUCUAGUGGCGGUCUCGCUGCAGCUUCCAUUGCGUAGUAGUAAAACCCUCGCAACUGGUACGCGGCGCGGCCAAGCCGUUAAACCCCCAACUUCUGAAUGUUGACCUCGGAUCAGGUAGGAAUACCCGCUGAACUUAAGCAUAUCAAUAAGCGGAGGA